rnacentral:rRNA from 1 species
GAUGAACGCUGGCGGCGUGCCUAAUACAUGCAAGUCGAGCGAACGGACGAGAAGCUUGCUUUUCUGAUGUUAGCGGCGGACGGGUGAGUAACACGUGUAUAACCUACCUAUAAGACUGGGAUAACUUCGGGAAACCGGAGCUAAUACCGGAUAAUAUUUUGAACCGCAUGGUGCAAAAGUGAAAGACGGUCUUGCUGUCACUUAUAGAUGGAUCCGCGCUUCAUUGGCUAGUUGGUAAGGUAACGGCUUACCAAGGCAACGAUGCAUAGCCGACCUGAGGGGGUGAUCGGCCACACUGGAGCUGGGACACGGUCCAGACUCCUACGGGAGGCAGCAGUAGGGUAUCUUCCGCAAUGGGCGAAAGCCUGACGGAGCAACGCCGCGUGAGUGAUGAAGGUCUUCGGAUCGUAAAGCUCUGUUAUUAGGGAAGAACAUAUGUGUAAGUAACUGUGCACAUCGUGACGGUACCUAAUCAGAAAGCCACGGCUAACUACGUG